rnacentral:SRP_RNA from 1 species
ACGCGGACCUCGUGCGGCACACAUCUCGCGAACCUCCCCAGGGCCGGAAGGCAGCAAGGAUAAGCGGGCUCUGGUGGGUGCACGGGGUCCCCUCAUUU